rnacentral:rRNA from 1 species
UACGUAGGGGGCUAGCGUUGUCCGGAAUCAUUGGGCGUAAAAGAGCGUGUAGGCGGCCCGGUAAGUCCGCUGUAAAAGUCAAAGGCUCAACCUUUGAAUGUCAGUGGAUACUGCCGGGCUAGAGUCCGGAAGAGGCGAGUGGAACUCCUGGUGUAGCGGUGGAAUGCGCAGAUAUCAGGAAGAACACCAACGGCGAAGGCAGCUCGCUAGGACGGUACUGACGCUGAGACGCGAAAGCGUGGGGAGCGAACAGG